UACGGAGGGGGCUAGCGUUGUUCGGAAUUACUGGGCGUAAAGCGCACGUAGGCGGCUUUGUAAGUUAGAGGUGAAAGCCCGGAGCUCAACUCCGGAACUGCCUUUAAGACUGCAUCGCUUGAACGUCGGAGAGGUAAGUGGAAUUCCGAGUGUAGAGGUGAAAUUCGUAGAUAUUCGGAAGAACACCAGUGGCGAAGGCGACUUACUGGACGACUGUUGACGCUGAGGUGCGAAAGCCAGGGGAGCGAACGGG
rnacentral:rRNA from 1 species